CCGCCUUGGCAUUAGCCUGUUACGUCGCCGCUCUUGUAUGGUUUGGUCUCGACGUGUACCCGCGAAUAUAAACAAGGCUCGUCGGGUGGAAAAAGGGAGAGGAAGCUUCGAUUCCAACCGCGUCUGAUCUGCGUAACAAGCCUCGCAUGGCCAUCAGUCGAGAGGAUCCACCCUCUUUGGACGAGGAACCCGUGCACCCCCUUCUGGGUUUCCUAACGAUGUGCUAACAAAAUACGAGCCGUGGAUAAAGAGCCUUACGUUUCGAGGAGGAACGUAAGCAGAUUGACGAGGAGACGACGUUAUGUCGGGCGGAAUGAGAGAGGAAGGAAAAAAGAAAGAAAGGGGGAAAAGAAAGGAAGAAGGAGAGAGAGAGAGAGAGAGAGGACAAAUAUAAGAGGUUGCAGAGGGGUUAGGUCUAAGACCAUGGAAAUGAUUUCUUCUUCUUACCCUUCUCGGAACGGGCUGCUUUCCACCCCUUAAUUAUCCGACUGACAAUUAUUUUUAACGACUCCGCGAUAUCCUUAACGAGACUUAAUCCGCCUACGUGGCGUCUCUUUCGAUGGGAACAGUUGAAUGGAAUGGCGAGGGGGAGGAGGUUGGUAAUUGAGUUGUGUAUUGUGUAAGGUAUUAAUGGAAUUUCUGUUAAUUGAUGAGGUGUGGCGAAGAAGGAUAGAAUGGAUAGGUUUUGAUUAGAAGACUAUCGAAUUAUUUCGAUUUAUCAGUUGAUUAAUUUACCAUAUUGUUAAUAUCGUAUUGUUGUUGAUGAUUAUUGUUGUAGUGAUAAACAUUGGAAUAUAAGAAUAUAUAUAUAAAAGAUGUUUUCAUUAUAACAUUAUUGAAAUGAAUUUGUGAAUUAUAUAUAUUCGUCUCGGAAUGAAAAAGUAUGAAAUAAUCGAAGGAAUUGAAAGAAACGAUGGAAUUUUAUUUUUCAAAAUAAAAUUAAUUAAGUUAUUUAAAAAAAGUUGCACAUGCAAAAUACUUAUUCUUCGACAUCUUUAAACGAAAGAUAUGAUGUUUACAAAUAUUUUUCAAUAUUUUAACAUUUAACAUGAUGAUUAUGUCCCUUAUACUUACUUUUUAUAAACUUUCUGUAAUUAGAAUCAAUAAGAAUACGAAAUAUAAUAGAAUCUUUUCGUAAAAUUUACGAAUACUUCGUUCGUUAUUAAAUUCUAGAAAAAUUCUUGAAGAAGAUUCUACUAAAUUCUAUUAAAUUUUCAAAGUAAGAAUCACACGAAUAAUAACUCUUUAUCGAUCAAUUCAAUGAAAACAAAUCAGGAAAAUUCCUUGCCACGUUCCCACGUUACAAUCGGCGCAAACAAUCGCCACAAUUGCACAAAACAGGGCAAAGUGGCGAAGCAUGACCAUCAUCGUGAUCACGUGAGGGAGUGCACUCCUAUUUUCGAUCGGUAUUACAGCACGAUAAUUACAGUACGAUAGACGACUUCCCACGUCCGGCACGCCUCGUUCAUUAAGUCGUAGCUUAAUGAUAUCUGCAAUCUGUUGUACUCUAUACUAUGGUUAUGCCAAUGUGCCAUGAUAGUACGAUACGUUAGUCAAUCGCGAUCAUUUUGUUAUUUAGCAUGGUUGCUGAUAUAUCUGUCGUGUCACAUUAAAUAUGUAUAUCAUUAGUUUUAACGAUUAUGAUGAUUGAUCUGUUGAGUAAGGUUGAGCAUAUUUUAAGUGAAAUUAUUUGAGAUGUUUAUUUUAAAUAACAUGUGUUAUUUGUUUGAUCAUUAUUUUAAUGUUAUCUCAUAUUUAUCUAUAAUUUUAAUGAAAAUAACAUCAUUAUAUAUGAUUUAUAAUUGAUUGUGAUUAUUUCUUUUUUAUUUCUUUCAAAUUUAAAAUAAUUAAUUAUUUUGGAUUUGGAUAAUAAUAUUAUUAAGAAUAAGAAUCUGGAAUAAAUUGCUUCGAAUAGUUACUUCAAUUUCGAAUUAAAAACAUAUUUGAGAUUAAAGUUAUAAAAAUGAUGAAUAUUUUAAAUAUUGUAAUUUAUUCAUUCGAAAAUAUUUAUAAAUAUUUUUCUUCAGGUUAUAGACUCUAUAAAAUGGGAUUUGAAUUAUUCAUCGAAAUAGAUAUACAUAUAUAUAUAUAUUGAUAUAUUGUUAGAAAGCUCUUUUCAUGCUGAUUAUAAAUAUAUAAAAAAAUUUUAUUCGUAAAUAAUGACAAUAAUAAAUUUGAAACAUUUAAUACUUUUAAUAUUUAAUAUUUUAUUAUAAUAUACCGAUAAAUAUCACCAAUUAACAUUGAAGUUAAAAAAAAUAUAUAUAUUUUAUUAUAACAUUUGUACUACAAUAUAUCACAAUAAUCACAAUAAACAUUGUUAGAAGUGA